AGCUCUUUUUAAAAGUUUUUGCACGGGUCAGGACAAAAAAAUAAGCCAUCUUGAAUAUCAGUGAUACCACAAUGCAAAGCGCUACGAAAACGUAAUAAGGGGAAUCAUCAAUUGGCUAAUGUUUAAAAUCCGAUCCGAAAUUGUCUAUUAUAAUUCAUCAGUUAUUUCGAAUAUCGAAGUCCGAUCCGAUCCGACUUACGAAACAACUUUAUCAAUCCGAUCCAAUCCGAAAUGAAUAUUUUUGUUCCGAAAUCCGAACGGAUCGAAUUCGGAUCGGAUUUAUGGAUUUACAUAUGUGUUAACCAUGUGACCAUAGCUCUCAUCGAAUAACCGCUGUAAAUUUCAAUUGUUGUUCGCAGGCAUCGGCAAUGUAAAAAUUACCAAAAAUUACUGCUGUCCAUUAUCCAAUAAUAUUCAUGUGCGCAUUCUUUAUUGUCAAAAUUUGUUAUUUUAUUAAAUUAAAUAUUUGACUUUUAAAUCAUUUAUUAAAAGAUUGAAACCUUUUU